rnacentral:misc_RNA from 1 species
ACACCUCAACUCUUCAUGGUUUUCUGUGAUGAGCUUGGACUUUGGGGGUUUUGCUGGCCUAUGGUCGGCUCCUCUAAAAUGAAUCAGCUUUCCGGUGUUUGGUGGGCGUCACAGGUGUGAUAACUAUCUACGCUUGUGGUUUUUCCACCAGGUAACCUUCAGCAGUGGAGGUUCGCUGGAGCUCAUAGACGUCUCUCCUCAGCGAGGACAACCCUUUGAAU